AGUGAACGCUGGCGGUAGGCCUAACACAUGCAAGUCGAACGGCAGCACAGUAAGAGCUUGCUCUUACGGGUGGCGAGUGGCGGACGGGUGAGGGAUACAUCGGAAUCUACUUUUUCGUGGGGGAUAACGUAGGGAAACUUACGCUAAUACCGCAUACGACCUACGGGUGAAAGCAGGGGAUCUUCGGACCUUGCGCGAUUGAAUGAGCCGAUGUCGGAUUAGCUAGUUGGCGGGGUAAAGGCCCACCAAGGCGACGAUCCGUAGCUGGUCCGAGAGGAUGAUCAGCCAAACUGGAACGGAGACACGGUCCAGACUCCUACGGGAGGCAGCAGUGGGGAAUAUUGGACAAUGGGCGCAAGCCUGAUCCAGCCAUACCGCGUGGGUGAAGAAGGCCUUCGGGUUGUAAAGCCCUUUUGUUGGGAAAGAAAAUCAGCAGGUUAAUACCCCGCUGUUCUGACGGUACCCAAAGAAUAAGCACCGGCUAACUUCGUG
rnacentral:rRNA from 1 species